UUACUUAUUAACUGUGUUCCCGUCAAGCUCCAUCGAUUGGUAAUCUGUAAAAAUCAGCUAAUGCAGAACAGGUUUAACUUUGAUACUACAGGCGUAUAUCACAUUCCCUUUCAGCUCAUGGUUUACCAUUUACAAUAUGUAGUAGAGUAAAAGUAUGAACUUUACUACUGUGCUGUAGAAUGUGGAAAGCAAACCUCAGGAACACAUUUUUUCAGAUCGACAGACGAACAAAAUGCUGAAUUAGAGAGUGCACUGAGUUACAGAGGCUGGACAUGUCGUGGCAUCAGCUCUAAAUUGUUUCCUCCAUCCUUCACUAAAGGUCGUAAGGAACCAACAACAACAACAACUCCUCCACCUCUAACAAGACAAACCACAUCUGAACCUCUUCCAGCAGCAACAACUGCACCAUCCACACCUCUAGUAAACACAGGUGCUCUUUACCUGUGGUCGUCUGUUCAUAUUGCGGUUGGAAUACUCUGUUUAAUCAUCAUACUCAGCAUCACUGUCACUUCCUGGAGAAAAGCUCGACAGACACAGGGGCAACACACAGCAGCAACAGAAAAUGAUCCUCCAUCACACGAGAGCAGUAACUGAGCCGUGUUCAGCGUUCAUCCUCAGACAGUCUGACAGUAAAAAGUCCUCCAGCUUUCAACACUGUGACGACUAGUUUCCCCUUUUCAGGAAAGUUGGGAUACUUUCCAAAAUGCAAUAAAAAGAAAGAUCUGAGAUUUGUAAAUUCACAUGAACCUUUAGUUUCAACACUUUUACUGACCAGGGUAAUUGUAUUUUGAAAAAAUAAAAACAAAUUUCAUGCAUGCAA